rnacentral:rRNA from 1 species
ACGUAGGCGGCUGGGUAAGUCUGUCUGUGAAAGCCCAGGGCUCAACCUUGGAAUUGCCUUUGAUACUGGCUAUCUUGAGUAUGGAAGAGGUAUGUGGAACUCCGAGUGUAGAGGUGAAAUUCGUAGAUAUUCGGAAGAACACCAGUGGCGAAGGCGACAUACUGGUCCAUUACUGACGCUGAGGCUCGAAAGCGUGGGGAGCAAA